rnacentral:rRNA from 1 species
GAUGAACGCUAGCGGCAGGCUUAAUACAUGCAAGUUGAGGGGCAGCAUGAUAUACGCGAGUAUAUUGAUGGCGACCGGCGGACGGGUGAGUAAUAGGUAGGAGACCUACCUCAUACAGGGGGAUAGCAUAGAGAAAUCUGUGGUAAUACCCCAUGAGGUUAUAUGAAUAGAGGCAUAUAAUCAAAGCAUAAGCGAUUAUGCGGUAUGAGAGGGGCCUACUGACCAUUAGCUAGUUGGUGAGGUAAGGGCUCACCAAGGCGAAGAUGGUUAGGGGUUUUGAGAGAGAGACCCCCCACAUUGGAACUGAGAGACGGUCCAGACUCCUACGGGAGGCAGCAGUAGGGAAUAUUGGGCAAUGGGCGAAAGCCUGACCCAGCCAUGCCGCGUGAAGGAAGACGGCCUUAUGGGUUGUAAACUUCUUUACUACGCGAAUAGAGGUUAGUACGAGAUACUAAUAGGGAAGGUAGUGUAGUAAAAGCACCGGCUAACUCCGUGCC